rnacentral:rRNA from 1 species
GUUGCGGUUAAAAAGCUCGUAGUUGGAUUUCUGUCAAGGUGAGGUGGUCCAUCUUAUGGAUGUGUAUCUACCCGCACCUUGGCAUCUUCUUCAAGAACGCUGUCGCGCUUAACUGCGUGAUGCGGUAUUGAAGACUUUUACUUUGAGGAAAUUAGAGUGUUCACGGCAGGCAAUCGCUUUGAAUACAUUAGCAUGGAAUAAUACUAUAGGGCCUCGGCUUUAUUUUGUUGGUUUCUAAAGCUGAGGUAAUGAUUAAUAGGGAUAAUUGGGGGUCUUUGUAUUGCAACGUCAGAGGUGAAAUUCUUGGAUUGUUGCACGACAAACUACUGCGAAAGCACUGACCAAGGAUGUUUUCAUUGAUCAAGAACGAAGGUUGGGGGAUCGAAGACAAUCAGAUACCGU